GGCAGUCAGACACCGCCAUCGAAGACUGCAUGCACGACACAGACGGAGGACCUUUUACUGCUUCCCACACUGGAAGAAAUUACAUGCUCUGAAGCCCUAGUCCUGUAAGAAAAUCCGCAGAGAUUUGCCUUUCUGUGCCAACAUGCUGACCCACUGCACAACAGCACUCUACUAAAGAUGCACCUUCACUCUGGGCUGCCAGCUCAGGCCUCUAGGGUGGGCAUCGGCUGACUGCUACGAAUAUUUAUCUUGCAGAUGUAGAUAUAUCUUCGCUCAGGAUGAGCAUGCUAGUUUACCAGUAUCUUAU